rnacentral:rRNA from 1 species
GCAGCAGUGGGGAAUAUUGCACAAUGGGCGCAAGCCUGAUGCAGCGACGCCGCGUGAGGGAUGACGGCCUUCGGGUUGUAAACCUCUUUCAGCAGGGACGAAACGGACGUGACGGUACGAGCAGAAGAAGGACCGGUCCGCUACGUGCCCCCCGCCGC